CGGGGGAAGGGGGCGCGGGAGGGGGCGGGGGGAGGAGCUCGGGGAGCCUGGGCGCCCGGCCCCGCCGGUCCUCUGCGGACCCGGGCUCCGCUCUCGGGCCUCGUAUACCCCCACCGGGUGCCCACCCACCGAGCCCCGAGGAGCCCGCGCCUGUGUCCUUCUACCCGGCACGCGGCCAGCUCUCCCUUCUGCCCCCACCGCCCGCACAUCCCCCACCGCCGCGAGUUGAGGGCUGGACGCUUGCUUCACGUAUUAUUCAAUAUCGCAAACAUUUAUGGAGUGCUCUCCAAGUACCAGGCACUGUGCGGGAAGGCUGGGGGUUCAAAGACGACCAAGACACACAACCUGGAUUUAAGGAACUCCUAGGCCGGACCGGGGACAGUCAGAAGCGAGGGUGCUCCUUAGAUCGCUUUGCAUCAUAUCAGCCCCUGAGAUAGACACCAUUAUUAUCUGGGCUCUGUAACCGAAGAAACUGAGGUUUAAGGGUGCAAGGAUGUGUAUGGAGGAGAGGGCAGAAGCUGCUGGGUGAGUGAGCAGGUGGCUGUGGGUAUUAAGAGGGUGAGGAGUAGGCGAGUGAGUUCCCUCCCCUGUCUCCCAGCAGCAAAGAACGCGCCGCAGCACUUGUCGGGAGUGGUGGACCCUGAGAUUGCUUCUGAGAGUAAGCCUAGCGUCUAAGAAGAGGAAAUGAGUUCCCAGGACCCCGCAGCCUGCAGUAGGAUAUAGGGAGGCUGUCCGCGGUGGAGUGUCAUGAUGACAUUUCCCCCACCUUCAUCAAAAAUGAUCUACACCAGUGCUUCUUUCUCAAAAUGUAAUGUGCCUGUGAAUCAUCUGGAGGUUGUAUAGGACUGGAAUGGGGCUGGAGUCUGCAUUUCUAACAAGCUCCUAGGUGGUGUGAUGCUCCUUGUGCUGGGUAUUCACUUUGAGUACAGAAAGACUGCACAGACACAUUUUUACCAGAGAGCUGUGUUGGAGAGAUACCAAGGGCCAUCCGAUAUAGAGUCAAAUGAUUUUUUAUGAGCACACCAACAAAUGAUGCUGGUACAACUGGGUAUUCAUGUGUGUACGUGUGUGUGUGUCCGGAGGGGGGGGGGGGGUACUGCAAUCCUUACUUCACACCGCAAAGUUCAAUUUAAGACGGACCAUAGUCCUAAGCAUAAACGGAAUUGAUAAAUCUUCCAGAAGAAAACAUAGGAGACUAUCUUCUCCAUCUUUUGGUAGAUCAAGAUUUCUUAGAAAGGCAUAAACAAGAGAGACACUAAAAAAAAAAAAUUGAUAAAUGGACCUCAUGUGAAUUUAAAACUUCUGUUUAUCAAAAAGCACUAUCAAGCCACGGACUGAGAGGAACUAUUCAGAGCAGAUAUAUCUGACAAAGGACGUGUACCUGGAAUAAAGAACCCCUGCAACUCA
rnacentral:lncRNA from 1 species